rnacentral:lncRNA from 1 species
AAAAAUUAUCAAUUCAGGGGCAGCAACCCAACAACAGGUUGUCUGAUUCAUCGGAAAAUUUCAGGGCAGAUAGAAAUUGACCUGAUAAACAAUAUUACCCAACGUCAGAUUUGCUCUAAAUGCUUUGGUUUUUGAGUUAUAAGCCAAAAGCUGCAUUUGACCCCUAUGUUCUAUUUUUAGCAAUGGCGACCAUGUUUGUUGAUAGAUCAUAACUUCGGAUACAAUUUACAAACUAGAUACCCU